rnacentral:hammerhead_ribozyme from 1 species
AUCCGACCGACGAGUCCAAAAUAGGACGAAAUGCGGAUCCUGGAU